GAUGAACGCUGGCGGCGUGCCUAAUACAUGCAAGUCGAGCGAACAGACGAGGAGCUUGCUCCUCUGACGUUAGCGGCGGACGGGUGAGUAACACGUGGAUAACCUACCUAUAAGACUGGGAUAACUUCGGGAAACCGGAGCUAAUACCGGAUAAUAUAUUGAACCGCAUGGUUCAAUAGUGAAAGACGGUUUUGCUGUCACUCAUAGAUGGAUCCGCGCCGCAUUAGCUAGUUGGUAAGGUAACGGCUUACCAAGGCAACGAUGCGUAGCCGACCUGAGAGGGUGAUCGGCCACACUGGAACUGAGAUACGGUCCAGACUCCUACGGGAGGCAGCAGUAGGGAAUCUUCCGCAAUGGGCGAAAGCCUGACGGAGCAACGCCGCGUGAGUGAUGAAGGUCUUCGGAUCGUAAAACUCUGUUAUUAGGGAAGAACAAAUGUGUAAGUAACUAUGCACGUCUUGACGGUACCUAAUCAGAAAGCCACGGCUAACUACGUG
rnacentral:rRNA from 1 species